rnacentral:rRNA from 1 species
CAGCCGCCGCGGUAAUACCGGCGGCCCGAGUGGCGGUCACUAUUAUUGGGCUUAAAGCGUCCGUAGCCGGGUUGGGAAGUCCUCCGGGAAAUCUGGCCGCUUAACGGUCAGAAUGCCGGAGGAUACUCCCAGCCUAGGGAGCGGGAGAGGCCGAGGGGAUUCCCGGAGUAGGGGUGGAAUCCUAUAAUCCCGGGAGGGCCACCUGUGGGGGAGGCGCUCGGCUGGAACGCGUCCGACGGUGAGGGACGAAGGCCAGGGGAGCAAACCGGAUUAGAUACCCGGGUAGUCCUGGCUGUAAACGAUGCGGACUUUGUGUCGGACAAGCUAUGAGCUUGUCCGGUGCCGGAGGGAAACCGUUAAGUCCGCCGCCUGGGGAGUACGGCCGCAAGGCUGAAACUUAAAGGAAUUGGCGGG